rnacentral:rRNA from 1 species
AUUCCAGCUCCAAUAGCGUAUAUUAAAGUUGUUGCGGUAAAAAAGCUCGUAGUUGGAUUUCUGUCGAGAACAGCCGGUCACGAUUUUGUCGUUGUAUCUGGUUUGGUCUUGGCAUCCUCUUGGGGAACAUUUCUGCGCUUCACUGCGUGGAGUGGUAUUCAAGACUUUUACUUUGAGGAAAUUAGAGUGUUCACGGCAGGCAAUCGCCCUGAAUAUAUUAGCAUGGAAUAAUGAUAUAGGACCUUGGUUCUAUUUUGUUGGUUUCUAGAACUAAGGUAAUGAUUAAUAGGGACAAUUGGGGGCAUUCGUAUUAACGCGUCAGAGGUGGAAUUCUUAGAUUGCGUUACGACGAACUACUGCGAAAGCAUUUGCCAAGGAUGUUUUCAUCG